ACUUAGGUAGUUUAAUUAAAAACUUUGAUUUGUGGUGUCAAGAAUAUGGGAUUAAUCUCAUCUUAGGUC
rnacentral:tRNA from 1 species